rnacentral:rRNA from 1 species
AACGAACGCUGGCGGCAGGCUAAACACAUGCAAGUCGAACGCAUCGCAAGAUGAGUGGCAGACGGGUGAGUAACGCGUGGGAACAUACCCUUUUCUACGGAAUAGCUCUGGGAAACUGGAAUUAAUACCGUAUACGCCCUACGGGGGAAAGAUUUAUCGGGGAAGGAUUGGCCCGCGUUGGAUUAGCUAGUUGGUGGGGUAAAGGCCUACCAAGGCGACGAUCCAUAGCUGGUCUGAGAGGAUGAUCAGCCACAUUGGGACUGAGACACGGCCCAAACUCCUACGGGAGGCGGCAGUGGGGAAUAUUGGACAAUGGGCGCAAGCCUGAUCCAGCCAUGCCGCGUGAGUGAUGAAGGCCUUAGGGUUGUAAGGCUCUUUCACCGAUGAAGAUAAUGACGGUAGUCGGAGAAGAAGCCCCGGCUAACUUCGUGCCAGCAGCCGCAGUAAAAC